rnacentral:rRNA from 1 species
AUUGAACGCUGGCGGCAGGCCUAACACAUGCAAGUCGAGCGGGGUUUUCGGACCUAGCGGCGGACGGGUGAGUAAUGCGUAGGAAGCUGCCCGAUAGAGGGGGAUACCAGUUGGAAACGACUGUUAAUACCGCAUAAUGUCUACGGACCAAAGUGUGGGACCUUCGGGCCACAUGCUAUCGGAUGCGCCUACGUGGGAUUAGCUAGUUGGUGAGGUAAUGGCUCACCAAGGCGACGAUCUCUAGCUGGUUUGAGAGGAUGAUCAGCCACACUGGAACUGAGACACGGGCCAGACUCCUACGGGAGGCAGCAGUGGGGAAUAUUGGACAAUGGGCGCAAGCCUGAUCCAGCCAUGCCGCGUGUGUGAAGAAGGCCUUCGGGUUGUAAAGCACUUUCAGCGAGGAGGAAGGGUGGUGUGUUAAUAGCACAUCAUUUUGACGUUACUCGCAGAAGAAGCACCGGCUGACUCUGUGCAGCAGCCGCCGUAA